AUGGGGAGGCGCUUAGCACUUGGUGAGCUCCGGGUCAGGUCGGCCACGAACAGCCCUGGCCAUUACGUGAUUGAACGGAGAGGGAGGGGAGAAGGCGGCCGCGGUGGAGGUGGACAGGGGCGUCCUGCGGCCCCAGCAAGGCUGGCCCAGCGGCGAGGCUGGGGAUGGAGCGCAUGCUUUAACCCUUGCAAGGCCGCGCCUCUCUCUCUCUGCAGUCUAGUCACCGUGCCCAAGGAGGGGGGCCUGGGGAGGACAAGGCCCCGGUGGAAGACCCACGCGCACAGCGCGGAGGUGGGACUGGGUGGAGGGACGCGGGCUCACCCUGCCCUCGACCCUCCGCCGGCCCGCAGCCGGGGCGACCCUGGGCGCUCAGGCCGUGCCCACGGCGCGCGGGGGAGGGAUGCCCAGGCAGGUGGGGAGAUGCUGCAGGGAGGGGCUCUCCGUCCCCACGCCGCUCACCUGCGCCCCGCGGCCGCGGGUACCGCCGUCCCCGCUGCUCGCCGCGCCCGACCGCCCUCCCUGUCGGCGUCCGCGGCCCGGCCCGGCCCGGCCCGGCUCCGCUCGGCCCCGCCGGCCCCGCCGCUCGGCCAGAUCCGCAUGCGCCGCCGCUGCCGCCGCCGCGCCUCCCCCGCUCGCGCGGCCGCCGCGCUCGGCGCGCCCCCGGGACCCCCUCCCGACCGCGGUCCCCGCCGCCCCGGCCGCCGGCAGCGCUGGCCCCCGCGCGGUCACACGCCCUGCCACGGCGUGUCACAGACAGCGGCGCUCGCGGGGGCCAGAGGUGGCGUCACACGGUCACACACCCCCACGGGGUCACACACUCCCACACUGGGUCACAUACAGCGUCAUGAACAUCAUCCACAUGCACACACUCACACGGAGUCACCCCCUCACAUGGGGUCACACAGGGUCAAACAUUCAGACUCACAUGCAGUUACACACAUGCUCACACUGGGUCCCACACGGGCACAGCGCCCAGUAGCAUCACACACUGUGACACACUCAGAUAGUGCCACCAUCACCCACAUGGUGUCACACACAAGCACACAUAUGUCCAGGCACUGUCACACACUCCCGUGGGGUCACAAAGAGUAUACUCACGCAUCAUACACGGCCUCACAAUCACACAGUGUUACACACUUUUACACACUCAAAUUUGUCACAUCUGUCACACACUCACAUGGGGGUCACACUUCCUGCACGGUCACACACUCAUACAUCACUCAGUCAGAGGAGGUCACAACCAGCAUGUCAACAACAGUAACAACCACAGCCACACACUCAAUGGGGUCACCGUGUCACACAUCCUUACAUGACACAUGUGGUGUCACACUGUCACAGUCUAAAAGAAUCACACACUCCCGUAUAACAGAUUUCACACAUGUCCCACACCAUGUCCCCCCAGUGUCACGGAUGCAUCCAGCAUCACAGACUGACACAGUGUCACCACAAGGUCACGCAAGAACAGCCUCAAUGCUUGCCAGACGUGGUGUCACACAGUCUCACAGUGUAACACGGUGUUAUACACAGAAUGGCGCAUGGUGUCACUCACAAUCAUACUCUCCCUCGGGGUUACUCUCAGUCACACAGGGUCCCGUGGACACAUAG
rnacentral:lncRNA from 1 species